rnacentral:misc_RNA from 1 species
UCUCCGUUGGUGAACCAGCGGAGGGAUCAUUACCGAGUUUACAACUCCCAAACCCCUAUGUGAACGUUACCAAACUGUUGCCUCGGCGGGAAAUUCAUGCCCCGGGCGCGUCGCAGCCCCGGACCAAGGCGCCCGCCGGAGGACCAACCAAGACUCUUUUGUAUGUCCCUCGCGGACUUUUAUAAUUCUGAACCAUCUCGGCGCCCCUAGCGGGCGUUUCGAAAAUGAAUCAAAACUUUCAACAACGGAUCUCUUGGUUCUG